AUGACCCAACUUAUUCAAUCACUUCCAUUAUCUUUCUAUUGUUACAAAUCGACAACAAAAAACAUCCCUCAGAAUUCUUGUUCGAUAGGAAAAAAUAGCUCUUUAACCAGAAAUAGCAAGCAACAUGUUUUUCUUCUCUCUUCCGGGCACACACCCUAUCGGGUGACGCCAUUGACAAACACCCUAAAGGGGAAGCAACACUUCCUAUAA
rnacentral:rRNA from 1 species